rnacentral:rRNA from 1 species
GAUGAACGCUGGCGGCGUGCCUAAUACAUGCAAGUCGAGCGAACAGACGAGGAGCUUGCUCCUCUGACGUUAGCGGCGGACGGGUGAGUAACACGUGGAUAACCUACCUAUAAGACUGGGAUAACUUCGGGAAACCGGAGCUAAUACCGGAUAAUAUAUUGAACCGUAUUGUUCAUUAGUGAAAUACGGUUUUGCUGUCACUUAUAGAUGGAUCCGCGCCGCAUUAGCUAGUUGGUAAGGUAACGGCUUACCAAGGCAACGAUGCGUAGCCGACCUGAGAGGGUGAUCGGCCACACGGGAACUGAGACACGGUCCAGACUCCUACGGGAGGCAGCAGUAGGGAAUCUUCCGCAAUGGGCGAAAGCUUGACGGAGCAACGCCGCGUGAGUGAUGAAGGUCUUCGGAUCGUAAAACUCUGUUAUUAGGGAAGAACAAAUGUGUAAGUAACUAUGCACGUCUUGACGGUACCUAAUCAGAAAGCCACGGCUAACUACGUG